UUUUAUAGGGGAGCUGGUGAAGUCCGGCUGAGAUUGAUACCGUUAUUGUGUCUGACCCUUGAACCUGAUCUGGAUAAUGCCGGCGUAGGGAACAUAGAGU
rnacentral:ncRNA from 1 species